GUAGUCCACGCUGUAAACGAUGAGUACUAGGUGUCGGGGGUAUCGACCCCCUCGGUGCCGCAGCUAACGCGAUAAGUACUCCGCCUGGGGACUACGGCCGCAAGGCUAAAACUCAAAGGAAUUGACGGGGAGCACUGCAACGCGUGGAGUGUGCGGUUUAAUUGGAUUCAACGCCGGAAAACUCACCUGGGGAGACUGCCAGAUGUGACUCAGUCUGAAGGACUUUGUCGAAAACAGGUAGAGAGGUGGUGCAUGGCCGUCGUCAGCUCGUACCGUAAGGCGUUCUGUUAAG
rnacentral:rRNA from 1 species